ACAUGGGUUAGUCGAUCCUAAGGCUCAGAGUAACUCCGUUAUAAGGCGGGCUUUUUUCGGAAAGCCCCGGUGGCCGAAAGGGAAGAAGGUUAAAAUUCCUUCACCUGGACGUGGAUAACGAGUGGUAACACAAGCAAAACUGGAGACGUCGGCUGGAGUCCCGGGAAGAGUUCUCUUUUCUUGUUAACAGUUCCGCAGGCCCUGGAAUCGGAUUAUCCGGCGAUAGGGUCUGGUGGCUGGGAAAGCAGCUUAAUCUUUGAGCUGUCCGGUGCUCUCCAGACGGCCCUUGAAAAUCCGGUGGCGUGACUUAUUUACACCCCAGGUCGUACUCAUAACCGCAUCAGG
rnacentral:rRNA from 1 species